GUUACCUGUGGCACUGAUGUUUAGGCCGAGUGGGAACUACACAUGCAGAGAUCAUCCAUUAAACUACUCUACGUCUCACAAAGACAGCGGUUGGAACCAAAAAUCUCAAAUUUGAACACAUCAGGCGAAAGGACAGAUUUCCAUCAGUCUAAUGUCCAUGGCUCGUGUUUCUUGGCCCAAAGGUAACUCUGGGUCUUUCUUUCCUGUGGCGGUCCUCAUGAGAGCCAGUUUCAUCAUAGCGCUUGAUGGUUUUUGUGUCUCCACGAGAAGAAACUUUAAAAGUACUUGAAAUGUUCCACAUUGACUGACCUUGUUUCUCUUUACUUAUUUGAGCUGUUCUUGCCAUAAUAUGGACUUGGUCUUUUACCAAAUAGGGUUAUCUUCUGUAUACCACCUCGUCCUUGUCACAACACAACUGAUUGGCUCAAACACAUUAAAAAGGAAAGCAAUUCCACAAAAUAACUGUUAACAAGCCACACCUG
ensembl:lncRNA